rnacentral:rRNA from 1 species
UACAGAGGUCUCAAGCGUUGUUCGGAUUCAUUGGGCGUAAAGGGUGCGUAGGUGGCGCGGUAAGUCGGGUGUGAAAUCUCGGAGCUUAACUCCGAAAUUGCAUUCGAUACUGCCGUGCUCGAGGACUGGAGAGGAGACUGGAAUUCAUGGUGUAGCAGUGAAAUGCGUAGAGAUCAUGAGGAAGACCAGUGGCGAAGGCGGGUCUCGUGGACAGUUCCUGACACUGAGCACGAAGGCCAGGGGAGCAAACGGG